AUGCCUCCGGGUGCUAACUUGUCCAAGGACUUCUACCAAUCUAAGAAACUCUUAGAAGGCCUUGCUAUGCCUUAUGUCAAGAUUGAUGUGUGUAAGAAUAACUGCAUGUUGUACUAUAAUAAAGAUAGUGAGCAUAAAGAGAAGUGUGACAUCUGCGGUACAUCUCGCUACGAGGAAGAUCAGAAUAAAGCCGCACAUAAAGUGUUGAGAUACCUCCCUCUUAAAGAUAGAUUACAGAGGUUGUAUGCACAUGAGGAAACAGCAAAACAUAUGCAGUCGCACAGUCGUUCCAAUUCUGAUAAGAUGGUCCACCCUAUUGGUGGUGAAGCUUGGCAAGGGUGUCCGUCUUGUCAUAGCUGGUGA
rnacentral:rRNA from 1 species